AACGAACGCUGGCGGCAGGCCUAACACAUGCAAGUCGAGCGCGCCCUUCGGGGUGAGCGGCGGACGGGUGAGUAACGCGUGGGAACGUGCCCUUUUCUACGGAAUAGCCUCGGGAAACUGAGAGUAAUACCGUAUACGCCCUUUGGGGGAAAGAUUUAUCGGAAAAGGAUCGGCCCGCGUUGGAUUAGGUAGUUGGUGGGGUAAUGGCCUACCAAGCCGACGAUCCAUAGCUGGUUUGAGAGGAUGAUCAGCCACACUGGGACUGAGACACGGCCCAGACUCCUACGGGAGGCAGCAGUGGGGAAUCUUAGACAAUGGGGGCAACCCUGAUCUAGCCAUGCCGCGUGAGUGAUGAAGGCCUUAGGGUUGUAAAGCUCUUUCAGCUGGGAAGAUAGUGACGGUACCAGCAGAAGAAGCCCCGGCUAACUCCGUG
rnacentral:rRNA from 1 species